UCGUUGAAAUCAUCGGUUCUCGUUCGAUCACCGAAGUUAACCAGCUUCAAGCCUGGCCAGUACUUAGAUGGGGGACAGUUUGGGAACAACAAGUUCUGUAA